rnacentral:lncRNA from 1 species
AUGAGGCCUGAAAUAUGGCUCUCUCUUUUGCUGGUCGUUUGGGAAUGUCCAACCCCUGUGAUCAACCUACACCAAUUUAACACUACCUGGGUCUCAUUGGAGACAGAGACACCUAUGUACUGGGCACUAACACCACAUCUGCCCAUUUUUCAACUCAUGACGUGGAAUCACGAGGCAAGCCCACUUUUCCUCUUUGGCAACGCAUCUUGGUUAACGGGUGACUUGGGACUGGCGGUUCCUAUUAUCUCCAAAACUGGAAUGAACGUUACUUGGACUUCUGCGGCGUUGCCUCUGUGCUUAUCCCCUUCAAAUAUCUCGAAUAGCAGCAUUUCUCAACUGUGCUAUCCUCUUUCAAAUUGGUCUAUUUCCCAACCUUCCUUUCUAGAAUCAGAGUUAUUGAAUGCUACUUAUGGUUCCUUAAACAUAACUCUCGCCUCUUUGAUUCGCAAUUUCAGUAAUAACCAUACUGUUACUACUUCGCUACCCCCUUGUCCACUUACCGCCCCUCAUAUAUUCGAACCCCUUCAUGCUUGUAGUACAGGAAACUUUAGUAGGUUGAACAAUACUAACGAAUCUAUAUGGUUUGCCGAUAAUUAUCCACAAACUUCUAUACUUCCUGCACCCAUCCCCUUUAAAGAGAAGGCACCCUUGCAAAGUCAUUGGUGGAAGGCAGGUCUUGCUCUUCAUCCUACCUUUGUCCGCUACAAUCAGACAGCUGCCAAAGUACAGCACGGAUUUCCUUUUGCAACAUGGCAUAAGAUUUUUGGGAACAAAAAUAGUACUUGUCAUGAGACGAAUGCUACCACAACUACUGACAUUCUUUGUUAUACUUUUACAGCCGAGGCACAAACGACACCUGAUGCUCUUUUCCUUUUGUGCCCUCCAGGGAACUUCACCAUUUCAAUCGUGCCCCAGGCAAAUAACAAAACCGGUUACACUAUACACUGUACUAAUGCUACCUUGACUAACACUCUUAACACCUCCCAUACCUCUUUUAUCGUCCUGCUUUUACGUGUACCCCCCUUUACUCUUCACCCUGUGAGAGCCGAUCCAUUCGCAUUGUCUUUAUCGGAUUCUCUCCUAUGUAAACUGGUUAAACGGGAUAUUGAUCCCACUGACAUCGUGGCAGUAGCUGCGCUAGCCCUUUCAAUUAUAGAAGAGACACAAAUAAUGCAAUUACAUAAACAAGUCACUUUCUUAGCAGAGUUCUUGCAGCAUUUCAUGCAUUUAGAAAGUCAAGCCUGGAAACAUCAAGAGACACUCGACCGUCUCUUGGAACGACAAAUCACUACCCUUUCUGCUACUGUGCAAGUAUUGUUACAUCAACAAGCUUUUAUGCUGCGUUAUAUGCGCUUGUCAUGUCAUUAUAAAUAUCGCCCUGUUUGUGUAACCCCUAUCCCUUAUAAUUCAACCAUGUAUAAUGAUUUGGAGGACAUUCUACGCAACGCCACCACAGGCGUUGUCUUUGCUACCGAGCUUCAGCAGCUGGAUUUGAUCAUCAUGGCCAUAGAGAAUGCUACCCUGCACUUUUCCCAAGAUUGGGAGGACUCAAUCUCCAAAACGGUUAAAUGGUGGGACGAUUUUCAAUACCAAAAUGUCCUCCAAUGGAUCCUCCAUGGUGCUCUUGUACUUGUAGGAGGUUUUUUGUUAUGUGUUUUCCUCCCAUGCCUUAUUUCUUGUUUUCUUUCUCUUCUCAAAAGAUCCCUCGCAGCCCUUAAGGCAGAAUUCCGUAAUGCUAACAGCACCCAUCCUCUUUAA